rnacentral:rRNA from 1 species
CUCCGGUUGAUCGGGGGCCGGACCCGACUGCUAUCAGAGUGGGACUAAGCCAUGCCCGGAGUCAACAUAGCAAUAUGUGGCAUAUUUCUCAGUAACACGUAGUCAGGGUGCCCACCGGACGUGGAUAACCUCGGGAAACUGAGGAUAAACCGCGAUAGGUCAUCACCCUUCUGGAAUGGGUAAUGACUUGGAUCUAUAUGGCCCCUGGAUUGGACUGCGGCCGAUCAGGCUGUUGGUGAGGUAAGGCCGCCCACCAAACCUGUAACCGGUACGGGCUCUGAGGGCCGAGGAGCCCGGAGAUGGGCACUGAGACAAGGGCCCAGGCCCUAUGGGGCGCAGCAGGCGCGAAACCUCUGCAAUAGGCGAAAGCUUGACAGGGUUACUCUGAGUGAUUUCCGUUAAGGAGAUCUUUUGGCACCUCUUUAAAUGGUGCAGAAUAAGGGGUGGGCAAGUCUGGUGUCAGCCGCCGCGGUAAUACCAGCACCCCGAGUGGUCGGGACGUUUAUUGGGCCUAAAGCAUCCGUAGCCGGUUCUACAAGUCUUCCGUUUAUCCACCUGCUUAACAGGUGGGCUGCGGAAGAUACUAUAGAGCUAGGCCGUUGGGAGAGGCAAGCGGUACUCGAGGGGUAGGGGUAAAAUCCGUUGAUCCAUUGAAGACCCCGCCAGUGGCGACCGGGCGGCUUGCCAGAACGCGCUCGACGGUUGAGGGAUGAAAGCUGGGGGAGCAAACCGGAUUAGUUACCCGGGUAGUCCCAGCUGUAAACCGGUGCAGACUCGGUGAUGAUUUUGGCUUAUUGCUAACUCAGUGCCGCAGGGAAGCCGUUAAGUUUGCCGCCUGGGGAGUACGGUCGCAAGACUGAAACUUAAAGGAAUUGGCGGGGGAGCA